rnacentral:rRNA from 1 species
AUUGAACGCUGGCGGCAUGCUUUACACAUGCAAGUCGAGCGGCAGCGCGGGGGGCAACCCUGGCGGCGAGCGGCGAACGGGUGAGUAAUGCAUCGGAACGUACCCUGGAGUGGGGGAUAACGCCGCGAAAGCGGCGCUAAUACCGCAUAUGCUCUGAGGAGGAAAGUGGGGGACCUGCAAGGGCCUCACGCUCUGGGAGCGGCCGAUGUCCGAUUAGCUAGUUGGUGGGGUAAAGGCUUACCAAGGCGACGAUCGGUAGCUGGUCUGAGAGGAUGAUCAGCCACACUGGGACUGAGACACGGCCCAGACUCCUACGGGAGGCAGCAGUGGGGAAUUUUGGACAAUGGGGGCAACCCUGAUCCAGCCAUGCCGCGUGAGUGAAGAAGGCCUCGGGUUGUAAGACGUCUUUGUCGGUAGAAGUAGCUGCUACAGUGGGUAG